CCUACGGGUGGCUGCAGUGAGGAAUAUUGGUCAAUGGUCGAGAGUCUGAACCAGCCAAGUAGCGUGAAGGAUGACUGCCCUGUGUAUUGUAAACUUCUUUUGUAUGGGAAUAAAACAGGGUAUGCAUACCCUCUUGUAUGUACCAUAUGAAUAAGGAUCGGCUAACUCCGUGCCAGCAGCCGCGGUAAUACGGAGGAUCCGAGCGUUAUCCGGAUUUAUUGGGUUUAAAGGGUGCGUAGGUGGAUUGUUAAGUCAGUGGUGAAAGUUUGCGGCUCAACCGUAAAAUUGCAGUUGAAACUGGCAGUCUUGAGUACAGUAGAGGUGGGCGGAAUGCGUGGUGUAGCGGUGAAAUGCUUAGAUAUCACGAAGAACCCCGAUUGCGAAGGCAGCUUACUAGCCUGUGACUGACAUUGAUGCUCGAAAGUGUGGGUAUCAAACAGGAUUAGAUACCCCAGUAGUC
rnacentral:rRNA from 1 species